CAAAUGGUUGCUGCCUAACUAUCAAAAAUAUCAAAUACACAAUUUACAGGACAUCGUCUCAAUGAGAUGUUGUUUCGUUUUGUGUAAAAUUAAGCCAAAAGUAAAAUCAAAAAAAUACUGAACUUAGAGGAAGAUCAAUUGGGAAAGUCCAUAAUCUUAUGGCAAAAUCAAAUAACAAAACGCAUCAAAAACGAAUGGACAAGAACUGUCAUAUUCCUGACUUGGUACAGGCAUUUUCAAAUGUAGAAAAUGGUGGAUUAAACCUGGUUCUAUAGCGCUAACCCUCUCACUGUAAUGACAGUCUCAUCAAUUUCCGAUAUUUUUACAUUGAUGCGUUAAAUAAACAGAC
rnacentral:lncRNA from 1 species